rnacentral:rRNA from 1 species
AACGAACGCUGGCGGCAUGCCUAACACAUGCAAGUCGAACGAGACCUUCGGGUCUAGUGGCGCACGGGUGCGUAACGCGUGGGAACCUGCCCUUAGGUUCGGAAUAACUCCCCGACAGGGGUGCUAAUACCGGAUAAUGUCUUCGGACCAAAGAUUUAUCGCCUUUGGAUGGGCCCGCGUUGGAUUAGCUAGUUGGUAGGGUAAAAGCCUACCAAGGCGACGAUCCAUAGCUGGUCUGAGAGGAUGAUCAGCCACACUGGGACUGAGACACGGCCCAGACUCCUACGGGAGGCAGCAGUGGGGAAUAUUGGACAAUGGGCGAAAGCCUGAGCCAGCAAUGCCGCGUGAGGGAUGAAGGCCUUAGGGUUGUAAAGCUCUUUUACCCGGGAUGAUAAUGACAGUACCGGGAGAAUAAGCUCCGGCUAACUCCG